GGGAGAUGCGGGUCUGAGUGUAGUCGCAGCCUCCACUGGCUCUGUGGCCAGAACCAAGCGCGGACGGGCCUGCCUCGCUCCUGCCCCGCCUCGCACGCCACACACACACCCGCCUCUCGCGCCCUACACACACGCCACGACGCUGCAGGUGUGCGUACCGCCAGCUUUCAUCUCCUUGACUUGACACGAAAGGAAAAGAAGACGAAGAAAAAAAUUAAGUUCUGGUACUCUGAUAAACGUACCUGAAGGAGAAAACGUGUGUGUGUAUCUGCUCACCUCACAUCGCCAACAACAACAACAACAACAACAAAAAGAGUGCAGGUGAGGAAAGUCUUGUUGUCGGAGUGACCGCGGACGAGAGAAAAAAAAAAUGAAAACAGCAAAACAAAAGAAAGAAAGAUGUGUUGAAACCAAUCUUUUCAUCGCCGUGUAAAAGAAAAACAUUCCCCCCACCAAAAAAAAAAAAAAAAAAAAAAAAAUCAACCCCUUAGAAAAAAAGGACCUCCGCCGCGGCCGCCUCACAGAUACUGGUAAAAAAAAACAGGACAAACACGGACAGGGCUACCCAUGGAUGUCUCUCGCCACGUGUUGCUGUGUGUUGUGUUGUGCAGUGUUGCGUGUGCCGCCAGCGUGUAGCGAAGAAAGGGGAACUGGACCAAGAAGAAAAGGAGAAGGAGAAGAAGAACAACUACGCCAGGAAUAGUCAUCUAGUCAUCUGUCAGUCCAAGAUGAUGAUGAUGACGAUGAUGACGGCGGCUCGGAGGGUGGCGCUGAUGGUGGCGGCGACGCUGGUGGUGGUCGCCGUGAGGGCCGAGAGACCGCCCGCCACACUUGACCAAGGUAAGACACACGCCCUUCACACCUUAAUUAUUUACGGCGCGGAGCUUCGUGUACCUGUGUGUCUGUGCUGCUGCGGCGGAUGCUUCUGUUUCGUUGGGCCUUGUUGUGAGGGGCAAAACAUUUAAUUAUCGAGGAGAUACACUGAUGCGAUCUUUC